rnacentral:rRNA from 1 species
ACAGCAGCCGCCGCGGUAAUACAGAGGAUGCAAGCGUUAUUCGGAAUGAUUGGGCGUAAAGCGUCUGUAGGUGGCUUUUCAAGUCCACCGUCAAAUCCCCGGGCUCAACCCUGGACAAGCAGUGGAAACUACCAAGCUGGAGUACGGUAGGGGUAGAGGGAAUUUCCGGUGGAGCGGUGAAAUGCGUUGAGAUCGGAAAGAACACCAACGACGAAAGCACUCUGCUGGGCCGACACUGAUACUGAGAGACGAAAGCUAGGGGAGCAAAUGGGAUUAGAUACCCCUGUAGUCCCUGUCUCUUAUAC